UGGGGUAGUGACUCAGUGGUAGAGUGCUCACCUAGCACGUGUGAGGCACUGGGUUUGAUACUCAGCACCACAA
rnacentral:tRNA from 1 species